rnacentral:rRNA from 1 species
GACGAACGCUGGCGGCGUGCUUAACACAUGCAAGUCGAACGGUGAAGCGCCUUCCUUUUUGGUGGGUGUGGAUGAGUGGCGAACGGGUGAGUAACACGUGAGUAACCUGCCCCCUUCUUCUGGAUAACCGCAUGAAAGUGUGGCUAAUACGGGAUAUUCUGGGUCUGUCGCAUGAUGGGUCUGGGAAAGAUAUUGUUUCGGUGGGGGAUGGGCUCGCGGCCUAUCAGCUUGUUGGUGGGGUGAUGGCCUACCAAGGCGGUGACGGGUAGCCGGCCUGAGGGGGUGGACGGUCACACUGGGACUGAGACACGGCCCAGACUCCUACGGGAGGCAGCAGUGGGGAAUAUUGCACAAUGGGCGCAAGCCUGAUGCAGCGACGCCGCGUGAGGGAUGGAGGCCUUCGGGUUGUGAACCUCCUUCGCCAGUGAAGCAGGCCUGCCUCGUUUGUGGGUGGGUUGACGGUAGCUGGAUAAGAAGCGCCGGCUAACUACGUG